rnacentral:rRNA from 1 species
GGAUAACCUGCCCUAUCGUCUGGAAUAACCUCGGGAAACUGAGAAUAAGGCCGGAUAGUUCACAAAGCCUGGAACGGUUUGUGAAUCAAGGUAGGAUGGGUCUGCGGCGUAUCAGGUAGUAGGGGGUGUAAAGGACCCCCUAGCCUUCGACGCGUACGGGUGUUGGGAGACAUAGCCCGGAGAUGGAUUCUGAGACACGAAUCCAGACCCUACGGGGUGCAGCAGGCGCGAAAACUUCACACUGCAGGAAACUGUGAUGAGGGAACUCCAAGUGUGUGCACUAUGUGUACACUUUUAUGAACUUUUAAUCGGUUCAGGAAUAAGGGCUGGGAAAGACCGGUGCCAGCCGCCGCGGUAAUACCGGCAGCUCAAGUGGUCGUCGCUUUUAUUGGGCCUAAAACGUCCGUAGCCUGUUUGGUAAAUCUGUGGGUAAAUCAACUCGCUCAACGAGUUGAAUUCUGCAGAGACUGCCAGACUAGGGACCGGGAGAGGUGUGGGGUACUCGAGGGGUAGGGGUAAAAUCCUGUCAUCCUUCGAGGACCACCAGUUGCGAAGGCGCCACACUGGAACGGAUCCGACGGUCAGGGACGAAGCCUAGGGGCACGAACCGGAUUAGAUACCCGGGUAGUCCUAGGUGUAAACGCUGUGAACUUGGUGUCGGGGGUCCGCAAGGGGUCCCCGGUGCUGGAGUGAAGAUGUUAAGUUCACUGCCUGGGGAGUACGGUCGCAAGGCUGAAACUU